rnacentral:rRNA from 1 species
CCUACGGGAGGCAGCAGUGGGGAAUAUUGCACAAUGGGCGCAAGCCUGAUGCAGCAACGCCGCGUGAGGGACGACGGCCUUCGGGUUGUAAACCUCUUUUAGUAGGGAAGAAGCGAAAGUGACGGUACCUGCAGAAAAAGCACCGGCUAACUACGUGCCAGCAGCCGCGGUAAUACGUAGGGUGCAAGCGUUAUCCGGAAUUAUUGGGCGUAAAGAGCUCGUAGGCGGUUUGUCGCGUCUGCUGUGAAAACUGGAGGCUCAACCUCCAGCCUGCAGUGGGUACGGGCAGACUAGAGUGCGGUAGGGGAGAUUGGAAUUCCUGGUGUAGCGGUGGAAUGCGCAGAUAUCAGGAGGAACACCGAUGGCGAAGGCAGAUCUCUGGGCCGUAACUGACGCUGAGGAGCGAAAGCAUGGGGAGCGAACAGGAUUAGAUACCCUGGUAGUCCAUGCCGUAAACGUUGGGAACUAGAUGUAGGGACCAUUCCACGGUUUCUGUGUCGCAGCUAACGCAUUAAGUUCCCCGCCUGGGGAAUACGGCCGCAAGGCUAAAACUCAAAGGAAUUGACGG